CCAAUGGAUAACUUUAAAAAAAGCAUUAGAAACUUUAAAUAAUCAUGCUAAACAUCAAUAUCAUAAACUAGCUUUAGAAAAAGCUGAUUAUUUUUUGAAUAUUGCAUUUUCAAAGAAACCUGAGAUAUAAACAAAUUAAACAUAGACAGAGCAAAAAAAAGUUAAAGAAAACCGAGAGAAUUUAAUUCCUAUUAUUGAUUGUAUUUUGGUAUGUGGUCGUCAAGAGAUUGCUUUAAGGGGUCAUAGGGACUUUGGUGCUUUGUCAUUUGAUGGCGAACCUGAGAUGAAUGAAGGGAAUUUUCGAGCUAUACUGAAAUAUAAAGCAAAAGACAUAGAAUAUUUAAAAAACUUUCUUUCAUCAAGCUAUCGAAAUAAAUAUAUUAGCCCAACUAUUCAAAAUGAAACUAUAAUCACUUGUGGUGAUAUUAUUUUAAAAAAGUUGUGAAAGAAGUUAACGAGUCACAUUAUUUUAGUGUUCUUGCAGAUGAGACAACAGAUAUUUCUGUUGUAGAACAACUUACUAUUUGUGUUAGAUAUCUUUUUGGUACUGGGAAAGAAAAAAAAUGUUUAUGAAAUUUCUUAAAAUUUACAGAAGUUACAAGUUUAACGGCUGAUAACUUAGCUGUAGCAAUUUUAAAUGGCUUGAAUUCAUGUGGUACUAAUUGUAACAAUAUUUGUGGACAAGGGUAUGAUGGUGCAUGAAAUAUGACAGGGCACAUAAAAGGCGUUCAAACAAUAAUAAGAAAUAAGUACCCAAAAGCUUUAUAUGUGCAUUAUGUUGCACGUACGUUGAAUUUAGCUGUGUCAUCUGUUUGCAAUAUUCAACCUGUACGAAAUUGCUUAGGAACUAUUCAAAAAAUGUAUUGUUUUUUUAAUUCCCCAAAGCGUCAUCAAGUGAUUUUAACAGCAAUAAGUCAAAGUAACUUAGAUUCAAAAUGGAAUUUAUAUUUUAACAGAGUUAUCAGUCAUAAAUGAUGUUGCAGAAAGAGGCGUUAAGUUAAUUCAAGAAUACAAUAGUAUACUGACGAAAGACGAAAAUCAAAAACAAUUUCUACUACAAGUUGUAAAUGAUUAUACAAAAUAUU